GCUGGCGGACCCCCAGGUCAUUGUUUGCUGGGCAAGUAAAAAGUUUAGUGAAUGACGAAGAUUUCGUAGACGCAGUCCUGGUCCUAAAAUCUGAAUAUGAUAGAUACGCAGUAUUAUUAAAAGAUGUAGGCCUAAUUAAUUCGACAGUAGGUAAACAUAAGGUAAACAUUCACGAUUGGAAGUUUGCUGUGUAUUCAGACAUGAACAAGAAUAAAACGAAUGCAAAAAUGCAUAAAGGCUGAAGAAAUUAACAAAACAUAUAAGCGAAUAAAUAAAUAUUAUAUGGUUUAAAGAAAAUUUUUUAAAUCGUGACAGUGGCCUCAAUUUAUUAACAAUGUUUUAAAAAAAUACGGUUUACCACCACGUUUUGUAUGCUGGUAAGAUGAAACAAUUACUAAUGCCCAACAAAGGUUUGAGCAAACCCGAGAGUCUACUGCUGUUCGAUUUAGAGCUUUAGAGAGGCUUCUUGUCUUGAUUCACAACACUUUUGAAUCGGAGAAUCCGUACUUGAAGUGGUAAAGUACCGGGAGAGCGUUUCAAAAGCAUACAGAGCCGUCAGCAGUCUCGCGAUACUUUGAUGUCAUAUUGAUUGGCGAAGACGCUUCAAAUUCAACAAGUCUGUUUUUGGAAUCGAUUCUUCCCAAUCCUUCCGGUCUACGACAGCACAAGGAGGCAGUGCGAGGUAGAUGAAAAAGUACGUAGCAUUUUUGAAAAUUAUAUUUAUGUUAAUGUAAAUGUUUGUUUAGUUUGUGUUUUCUAUCUUCGUUCCUUUUUUAAUCAAAGAUGAAUCGGCCCAAAAGAAAGGUAUUGAAACCAUUGAAGUACAGGACUGUGGAUGAAAACCCUUCUGAAGCCACGUGUGGGAGAAGCAUGACCACCACUGUGUCGGCCAAAGAUGAUAACGCAUUUAAGUCUAAGAUUGCCGCUCUUAAAGCAGAGAUCACCUUAUAAAGAUGUGUGUGAUUUUUUGAAUAAAGGGAUUGAAAAGAUGAAGUCUACUGUCCCAUCUGCAAUGUCACAAAUCCAUAUUCCUGCAGAUCCAUGUCCCUCAGCUUGGUUUCAUGCUUCUUUGUUAUCAGUUGCUGUCUGAACAUUGCUAUGCAAUAAACUAAAUAAAGGGAUAGUUUACUCA
ensembl:lncRNA